UACGGGGGGGCGAAGCGUUGUUCGGAAUUACUGGGCGUAAAGGGCUCGUAGGCGGCCAACUAAGUCAGACGUGAAAUCCCUCGGCUUAACCGGGGAACUGCGUCUGAUACUGGAUGGCUAGAGAUUGGGAGAGGGAUGCGGAAUUCCAGGUGUAGCGGUGAAAUGCGUAGAUAUCAGGAGGAACACCAAUGGCGAAGGCAGCUCGCUGGGACGGUACUGACGCUGAGGCGCGAAAGCGUGGGGAGCAAACAGG
rnacentral:rRNA from 1 species